GACAGAGGGUGCAAGCGUUGUUCGGAAUCAUUGGGCGUAAAGCGCACGUAGGUGGCCUUGCAAGUCGGAUGUGAAAGCCCAGGGCUUAACCCUGGAAGUGCAUCCGAAACUGCUCGGCUUGAGUCCCGGAGAGGGUGGCGGAAUUCCGAGUGUAGAGGUGAAAUUCGUAGAUAUUCGGAGGAACACCAGUGGCGAAGGCGGCCACCUGGACGGAGACUGACACUGAGGUGCGAAAGCGUGGGUAGCAAACAGG
rnacentral:rRNA from 1 species